UUUUUCUUUUUCUCUUCUUUUUUUUUGUUUCUGUUGCUUCUUCUUUGAUGGAAAGCGUAGAACUAAAAAGAGAAGGAUGGUUGGGUGUAUUGGGGGUGUAAAUUAUUGCAUUGUACUUGUAGCAAACACUUUAAAUAACGAAAAAAAAAAUGUAAGAGUAUUUUUUU
rnacentral:ribozyme from 1 species